rnacentral:rRNA from 1 species
GACGAACGCUGGCGGCGUGCCUAAUACAUGCAAGUAGAACGCUGAAGAGAGGAGCUUGCUCUUCUUGGAUGAGUUGCGAACGGGUGAGUAACGCGUAGGUAACCUGCCUUGUAGCGGGGGAUAACUAUUGGAAACGAUAGCUAAUACCGCAUAACAAUGGAUGACACAUGUCAUUUAUUUGAAAGGGGCAAUUGCUCCACUACAAGAUGGACCUGCGUUGUAUUAGCUAGUAGGUGAGGUAACGGCUCACCUAGGCGACGAUACAUAGCCGACCUGAGAGGGUGAUCGGCCACACUGGGACUGAGACACGGCCCAGACUCCUACGGGAGGCAGCAGUAGGGAAUCUUCGGCAAUGGGGGCAACCCUGACCGAGCAACGCCGCGUGAGUGAAGAAGGUUUUCGGAUCGUAAAGCUCUGUUGUAAGUCUAGAACGAGUGUGAGAGUGGAAAGUUCACACUGUGACGGUAGCUUACCAGAAAGGGACGGCUAACUACGUG